rnacentral:rRNA from 1 species
UACGUAGGGGGCAAGCGUUAUCCGGAAUCAUUGGGCGUAAAGCGCGUGUAGGCGGUUCCGUAAGUCCGCUCUGAAAGCCCAGGGCUCAACCCUGGGAGGCGGGUGGAUACUACGGAACUGGAGUACGGAAGAGGAGAUUGGAAUUCCUGGUGUAGCGGUGAAAUGCGCAGAUAUCAGGAGGAACACCGGUGGCGAAGGCGGGUCUCUGGGCAUGUCCUGACGCUGAGGAGCGAAAGUGUGGGGAGCGAACAGG